UACGGAGGGUGCAAGCGUUAAUCGGAAUUACUGGGCGUAAAGCGCGCGUAGGCGGCUAGAUAAGUCGGAUGUGAAAGCCCCGGGCUCAACCUGGGAACUGCAUUCGAUACUGUUUGGCUAGAGUAUGAGAGAGGGAGGUAGAAUUCCACGUGUAGCGGUGAGAUGCGUAGAUAUGUGGAGGAAUACCGGUGGAGAAGGCGGCCUCCUGGCUUAAUACUGACGCUGAGGUGCGAAAGCGUGGGGAGUAAAUAGG
rnacentral:rRNA from 1 species